rnacentral:lncRNA from 1 species
CAGACUCUGAGUGCAAGCCUCUGGGUGACGAGACAACCGCGGUUCUGCCCCAGAGCGGGCUGCGCUGCGCUCCUGCUCUGACGAUGGAACCUGCAGUUGCCUCCUCCCACCUGCCGGCAGUCAGGUCAGCAGGAGGGCUGGUGGAAUCGAAGCCAUCAAGGACUGAAGUUCCUUUGGAGGCGCUUUCCUGCUAAGUACAGUCCAUGCUGUUGCAGUUCUCUAAAACUUAGGGCAACAGCCAGUCAUGGACAAAAAACGACUGCUGUCCGUCUCCUCCAUCCCCUCCGAAGAAAGGAAAGAAAGGAAAAGACAAGACAGAGAGAGUUCCCCCCUGUCUCCCGAGGAGCCAGCCAGGCCGUCCCCGGGGGGGCGGGGGGGGGGCUUGCUUGCUCGGGGAAAAGUUACGUGCUGCUCCUCAUCCUGUUUCAGAGGUGGCCUGAACUGGAGCCCCACUCAGCCUUUGGCUGGAAAAGCCCAGUCGUGGGAGCCGAGGCUGGCUCCAAGGGGAGAUCAAAGGUGUGUGCUUACCUGGAGCUGAAGACCUCUGGCUGCUUUUGCCCCCCAGGGCCUGGGGAAGGAGAUGGGCCCUGCCCCCUUGCAGUGGCCUGCAGCUGGAAUUGCCAGAUACGAUCCGAAGGUCCAGGUACUUCUGCAAUUUCAGAUAAAUGAUCUGCUGCCACCUCUCUGUCAGAUGACUUUUCCGAAGAGGUGAGGAAGGAACGGAUGACAGAGCCGGACAGUGAACAGGGAGGCUCUCCUUGCAUCCUGCUCCUCCUGAGUCUGCCUCACCAUCCCCACACCCACAGUGGGUGCUCAGUUUGCAGAAGAAAGAGAAGAAGGAAGAUGAGGGAGAAGGGACAUGAGUGCCAGCCAGGGGACAUGGGACUCCCAGAAAUAAGAAGCAUGGCGAGUAUUUCUUUUUUUUACCUUUUUGGUUUUUUAGGGCCAUGUCUGCGGCAUAUGGAGGUUCCCAGGCUAGGGGUUGAAUCGGAGCUGCAGCUGCUGUAUCCGAGCUGUGUCUGCGACCUACACCACAGCUCACGGCAACGCCAGAUCCCCAACACACUGAGCAAGGCCAGGGAUCGAACCCGAGUCCUCAGAGAUGCUAGCUGGGUUCAUUAACCACUGAGCCACAAUGGGAACUCCAUGGUGUGUAUUUCUUAAGUGGUUUGUAUUCCACACGUUGCAAUAUCUCAGCAUAGCUCUUAAGACCACACAGAUGCAAGAAAAAUGGGGCUUCCUUCACUCUCCAGAGAGUGAAGGACUGUGCGUGAAUAUUCUUGUGGCAUCUCUAGACCCACAGGGCAUCUCUAGUUCUUAAAAACCAAGAACUGAGUCUUCACACUGGGUCUCAGGUUGUACAGACUGAGCUACUCGCUGAGGGAGGAACGAAUUAAAAUAGCCCAUUUGUGCAAAUACCAGAGCGUACGGUUAAUCCAGCCCCUCGGGUGCCCAGGUAUUUGGUUAAAUAUUAUUGUGGGUGUGUCUGUGAAGGUAUUUCUGAUGAGAACAGCACUCGGGUCAGUAGAUGCGUAAAGCAGAGGGCCUCCCCGGUGUGGGGGGCCUCGCCCCAGCUGCUGAAGGUCUGGAGGAGUGAAGGCUGAGUAUGGGGGCUCUUCUCGCGACCUGACUGUCUUUGAGCAGCAGGGGCGGGGGGCUCCUCCCUCUGCCUUGAGACACAGACUCGGGCUAGAACCACACGGUGAGCUCUCCUGGGCCGGACUGCAUGUCUUGGUGCUUCUCGGCCUCCAAAGUCUCCAGAGCCAAUUUCACACACACACACACACACACACACACACAGAGUCAUUGUGACAGGUUGGGGUUUUGCGUGGUAGUUGCGGGCAUUAAGUUUCCAGUUACGGUGACAUCAGAAUUCUGACGGAGGGAGGAAGGGACGUCCCUGGCGACCGCGUGCUGACGGCUUCGAGACUAAACAAGCUUUGCUUGGACACCACUGCCCGCGCUGUCCGUGCUCACCGCCCCGGGGCUCUGAGCGGCCUGGUCGAGGUGGUGUCAGGCUGGCAGAGCAAAAUCACUGCUACGUGACUCUCAACUGUGAAAUUCUGCAGUCACGCUACGAGUUGCUCCCCUUAACAAUUGUGCGGCUUCCAGACUCCUGGGAAGGUGAAAAUGAUUUAGAGUUUAUGGGGAGGAGUGUGGUUUCAUCACAAAAAUGGGGCUGCUGUGACGGCCAAGGGGGCCACUGACGGGUUCUGGUCUCUUCCCCUGUUCUGAUUUUCCUGAUUUUCAGCCUGAUGUCUUUUAAAAAAAGAAAAGCAGACUUGCUUUGGGUUUUUGCGCAUCCACCAAGUCCAUUUGAAAACUUGAUUCUUGGAGAAUGGAAAUGAUUUCAUGGUUGGGAAAGAUCGUCCACAGAAAUGCCUCUUUUUUUAAGCAGUGGUUUUUGAUUCUGCAUAUUCAGAAAGAGCCGCAGUCUACAUAUGAAUAAGCUUGACCGGUUUGAGAAGAAUUAGAUGGAGUCAAAGCGUAAGCCCUAGAAGUGGAAAGCGUGUUUCUGUGACACUGUCAGCAGCUCAGAGAGGUCUUCCUGGAGCGUUCUCUCCCUGCAACAGCAGCUUUUAAUCUGCACUGGUGUUACAGAGAGUAGAGUGAUGGCAGAGACCAGUUGCAUCAAAACCCCUCCCACUGCAUGACGGAGCUGCCCUUUCCAGAUGGAGCCCUGAUUCCUCCCCCCAAAAUCUUUAAUAUAAAAGUUAAUUAGGGCCAGAGUUCCCACUGCGGUGCAGCGCGUUAAAGAUCUGGCAUUGUGGAGUUCCUGUCGUGGCGCAGUGGUUAACGAAUCCGACUAGGAACCAUGAGGUUGCGGGUUCGGUCCCUGCCCCUGCUCAGUGGGUUAACGAUCCGGCGUUGCCGUGAGCUGUGGUGUAGGUUGCAGACGCGGCUCGGAUCCCGCGCUGCAGUGGCUCUGGCGUAGGCCAGUGGCUACAGCUCCGAUUGGACCCCUAGCCUGGGAACCUCCAUAUGCCGUGGGAGCGGCCCAAAGAAAUAGCAAAAAGACAAAAAAAAAAAAAAAUAAAAAAAAAAAAAAAAAAAAGAUCUGGCAUUGCGGCAGCUGCAGCAUAGGGCACGGUUGCGGCUCGGAUUCAAUCCCUGGCCCAGGAACUUAUGGGUACAGGUGAAAAAGAAAGAAAAAAAAAAA